rnacentral:rRNA from 1 species
GGGCCUGCACAAGCGGUGGAUGAUGUGGAUUAAUUCGAUGCAACGCGAAAAACCUUACCUACCCUUGACAUGUCAGGAAUUUUGCAGAGAUGCGAAAGUGCUCGAAAGAGAACCUGAACACAGGUGCUGCAUGGCUGUCGUCAGCUCGUGUCGUGAGAUGUUGGGUUAAGUCCCGCAACGAGCGCAACCCUUGUCAUUAGUUGCUACGCAAGGGCACUCUAAUGAGACUGCCGGUGACAAACCGGAGGAAGGUGGGGAUGACGUCAAGUCCUCAUGGCCCUUAUGGGUAGGGCUUCACACGUCAUACAAUGGUCGGUACAGAGGGUUGCCAAGCCGCGAGGUGGAGCCAAUCCGACAAACCUAGUCGUAGUCCGGAUCGGAGUCUGCAACUCGACUCCGUG